AAUUUACUAACUUUAAUUAAACUUUAACUUUAAUUAAUUUUUA
rnacentral:tRNA from 1 species